rnacentral:rRNA from 1 species
UACGUAGGGUGCGAGCGUUGUCCGGAAUUAUUGGGCGUAAAGAGCUCGUAGGCGGUGUGUCGCGUCGGUCGUGAAAACUUGGGGCUUAACCCUGAGCUUGCGGUCGAUACGGGCAUCACUGGAGUUCGGCAGGGGAGACUGGAAUUCCUGGUGUAGCGGUGAAAUGCGCAGAUAUCAGGAGGAACACCUAUGGCGAAGGCAGCUCUCUGGGACGGUACUGACGCUGAGACGCGAAAGCGUGGGGAGCGAACAGG